rnacentral:rRNA from 1 species
GCGACGCUGGCGGCAUGCCUAACACAUGCAAGUCGAACGAGAAAGUUCCUUCGGGAGCGAUUAAAGUGGCGCACGGGUGAGUAACGCGUAGACAAUCUGCCCUUCAGUCUGGGACAACUUUUCGAAAGGAGAGCUAAUACCGGAUAACAAUGUUUAACCUAAGUUAAGUAUUUGAAAGCUUUAUGUGCUGAAGGAGGGGUCUGCGUCCCAUUAGCUAGUUGGUAAGGUAAAGGCUUACCAAGGCGACGAUGGGUAGCGGGUUUGAGAGGACGAUCCGCCACACUGGAACUGAGACACGGUCCAGACUCCUACGGGAGGCAGCAGUGGGGAAUAUUGCACAAUGGAGGCAACUCUGAUGCAGCAAUGUCGCGUGAGUGAAGAAGGCCCUUGGGUCGUAAAGCUCUUUUAUGGGGGAAGAUGAUGACGGUACCCCAAGAAUAAGCACCGGCUAACUAUGUGCCAGCAGCCGCGGUAAUACAUAGGGUGCGAGCGUUGUUCGGAAUUACUGGGCGUAAAGGGCGCGCAGGCGGAAUAGUAAGUCGGAGGUGAAAGCCCGGGGCUCAACCCCGGAGGGUCUUUCGAAACUGCUAAUCUAGAGAGGGUCAGGGGCCGGCAGAAUUCCUGGUGUAGAGGUGAAAUUCGUAGAUAUCAGGAGGAAUACCGUGGCGAAGGCGGCCGGCUGGGGCCACUCUGACGCUGAGGCGCGAAAGCGUGGGGAGCAAACAGGAUUAGAUACCCUGGUAGUCCACGCCGUAAACGAUGAGCACUGGACGUCCGGAGGGUUCGACCCUUCUGGGUGUUUCAGCUAACGCAUUAAGUGCUCCGCCUGGGGAGUACGGUCGCAGACUACUAUAUGGAU